GCCUUCUUAGCUCAGAGGUAGAGCGUUGCACUUGUACGCUCUUGAUAUGUGUAUGCAAAGGUCAGUCGUUCAAUCCGGCUAGGAGGCA